AGUGAACGCUGGCGGUAGGCCUAACACAUGCAAGUCGAACGGCAGCACAGUAAGAGCUUGCUCUUACGGGUGGCGAGUGGCGGACGGGUGAGGAAUACAUCGGAAUCUACUUUUUCGUGGGGGAUAACGUAGGGAAACUUACGCUAAUACCGCAUACGACCUACGGGUGAAAGCAGGGGAUCUUCGGACCUUGCGCGAUUGAAUGAGCCGAUGUCGGAUUAGCUAGUUGGCGGGGUAAAGGCCCACCAAGGCGACGAUCCGUAGCUGGUCUGAGAGGAUGAUCAGACACACUGGAACUGAGACACGGUCCAGACUCCUACGGGAGGCAGCAGUGGGGAAUAUUGGGCAAUGGGGGCAAGCCUGAUCCAGCCAUACCGCGUGGGUGAAGAAGGCCUUCGGGUUGUAAAGCCCUUUUGUUGGGAAAGAAAAGCAGCAGGUUAAUACCCCGCGGUUCUGACGGUACCCAAAGAAUAAGCACCGGCUAACUUCGUG
rnacentral:rRNA from 1 species